GCAUUUGUAGUCCAACGAUUAUGAUAAAUGCCUUUCAAGUAAUAUACCCGAGUUCGACUCCCGACAUAUGCA